ACGAAUGCUCUUCGGGGUUGAGCACGGAUAUAUCACUAGCACGAAUGCUCUUCGGAACUUAGCCCGGAUACAUCACUAGCAUGAAUGCUCUUCGGAACUUAGCCCGGAUACAUCACUAGCAUGAAUGCUCUUCGGGACUUAGCCCGGAUUUAGUAACUUGCACAAAUGCCUUCGGAUCUUAGUCCGGAUAUGGUCACUUAGCACAAAGCCUUCGGGACUUAGCCCGGAC
rnacentral:lncRNA from 1 species